rnacentral:misc_RNA from 1 species
UUGGUUAGAGCGCGCGCUUGAUAAGCGUGAGGUCGGAAGUUCAAGUCUUCCCAGGCCCACCAUUUUGAUCGAGUGCGGAGCAUUCGUCUUCUGGUACGGGGCCAUAGCUCAGCUGGGAGAGCGCGUGCUUUGCAAGCAUGAGGUCGUCGGUUCGAUCCCGUCUGGCUCCACCAGAUGGAAUUGAAGCUCGAGAAUGCGCCUUUGCAGGAAGCUCUGUUCAUAUCGUUCGCGAAACAUCACUUCGCACUCAUUGGUCCGGAUGGACGGUGACGUGCGUGUUUUCUGACAUCGUAAAGAGGAGAUCGAUCCGAGUUUGGAUCAAGCGAAGCAAUUCGCCUGAGCCAUUCAUUAUCUCCGGGAUCAUUUCGGCGCUCGCUUCAAUCGUGAGAUUGGAUGCGGGUUGUAAAUGAUCCCUUUUAGCGAAGCUUGACCGCCUCGCUAUCGGGCCGAUCUUACGAAGCAAGCUGGUCUUUCUAGUCAAUGUCCGGCUGCGCAAUCGCAUUCAUCGAGGAUGCGUGCCUUCAAUGGCAGUUGUGCAGACAACAUUCUGCCGAGUGUGUGGACAUUGAUAAUGAGAGCAAUCAAGUGCCUUAAGGGUGUUCGGUGGAUGCCUUGGCGCUGAGAGGCGAUGAAGGACGUGCUACGCUGCGAUAAGCCGUGGGGAGCUGCGAAGAAGCUUUGAUCCGCGGAUUUCCGAAUGG